GACAUGAAAUUAAAGUGUAAAAGCGCUAAGCGCCCAAUUUAUGUAUAUAAAAAAUAUUCUCAAUAUUUUAAAAAUGUAAAAAUAUUGGCUUGAAAGACGGCCGGCAAGGUCAUCCUUUUCCUAACAGUAGCCGUGUUGUUCAGACUAUAGGAGUGAAUACUAUUCCAAGGAUCCAAACGAUGCCGAGUUAUGAUGAACAGGUUCUAAGGGAUAUUGGAUUUUCUUCAUGUUCCAGAUCUGCCUGCAGGAGACGAAUCGGUAACACUGAUUUUCCAUCUCGAGUUCCGAUACCAAGCUUAACAACAUCAUCCCCUAAAUACAAAUCGAUUCAUUCAAUACGUUUAAGUAAACAUAAUAUAUCAUCAUUACAAUUAUGUUCCAAAUCAAAACAAGGCUCCUGCUGUUCGAUUUGUUGCAAUGACACAAAAGUACCUUGAGAAUAAAAUAUUAUUUCGUCAAUUUUUAAAAUGUUUGAAUAAAUAUUUUGUUUUGUGUAUCGAUUAAAAAUUAAUGUAUUUUACGAAAAUAAGUCAAAAUUUUCUAUUUGUUCCUGUAAUUUACUAGUGCAAUAAAGAACUGUAUUUUUA
rnacentral:misc_RNA from 1 species